UGAAGAUUAAAUGGUUAUAAUGCUGAGCAACCAAUCUUGGGGGAAAUGCUGUCUAUUAUUUAUUUAAAAAUAUUAAGGCAAAAUAACCUUUUGGUGUUUGUGCCAAAUGAAAUCUAUGGCGUGACAAUAAAAAGUGAUUGGAAGUUUCUUCAGAAUAUUGUCGAUUCUGUUACAGAAUAAAUACAUAAAGAACCUCAGGUUUCAUUCAAGGGAAGGAGCCUAUGCCAACAUUGAGUUUCAAGAAUUGAAUGAAUUUCUUAAGAACGUUUAAAAACAUCUCAACUUCCAGCUUCUUACAUCCAUGACCUCACUAUUUUUAUAUCCUUUCUCUCGUGAAAAGGUGCCAAUUUUUCGAUUCAAAAGACACACAACACAAAAAUUAAAUAUAUUUCCCACCCCUUAUAAUGAAUUAUAAAAUGAAUGCCAAGCUAAUAAAUUUUCCUUAAUAAUAUCCCAAUAAUUAUGAAUGAAAAACAUACAGAAAUGGCCAUACCCAGCUGCCUUUUACCUUCAUGAGCCUAACACACCCAUCCUGGUUUCCCCUAGGAUGUUCUGAAAAAGAUUUGGAAGAGCAAUUGAUCCGAGUCCCCUGCAUUAAUGUCCCAACAUACAUUUUUUACGGUAAAAGGUGAAUAAUGGAAGUUAGCAGGCUUGUAAACAGUCUAAUUUCCCUCCUCGAGGCUCGAACCGAGAAUCAGAAUUUCUAAGUAUCAUGAUGGGUUUUUCUUCUCUUUCCGUCAAUAGAUACUAUGGAAAAUUGUGCUAAAAUUACACCCAACUCAACCUGUGAGGCUAUCUGAUUCUUUUCAUCGACAAGUCAUGCUUCGGCACUAUGUGCAUGAACGAUGAGUGAUUCGAUCCUAUCGUGUUGGGAUAGAUCAAUACAAUUCUCUACAACCUUUGAGUUCUAACACCAACUGGCUUUUUUGUCAAGUGUGUGCUGAAGCUUCGGCCAUAUAUGAUAUUUUUGGAGAGCAAUGAAAGCUAAUUUCUGAAAUUCUAUUUUUCACAAUAAGGAUAUCCAUAACAGUCUUCCCUCCAUGCUUCAACGAAGGGCAUGGAACCAGAGAAAUACGGGGGCAGCAACAUCGGAAGCCGUUACAAAGUGGCCGGCGAUAUUUGGGAUGCUUCGACAAAGUGAAAUCCCCGCCACCGGCGCAGCAGCAGGGGCGAUCACAAGUCAUUUCCUAACCGACAAUGCCAAGUAGAGAACUCGGGGAAGAGCGAGGAAGGCAGCCAAGAGGCAAGGCCGCCACAACAAGAACAAACGAACAACAAAACAGGAGAGGUGGCGGAGGAGAAGAGGAUCGAGCAGCUUACCUCGAUCGAGACGAACGCGGCGGGAUGGAACAGUUCUCCUCCACGGGCUAGGAGCGGACGAGGGCGUGGAAAAUUCUGCAAGUGAUGGAGAGAAAGGGGAUACUCUCGAGGCAGACUUCAUUUCAUAUUUCAGUUAAAACAAUACCUCUGCAACACCU
rnacentral:lncRNA from 1 species